rnacentral:rRNA from 1 species
UACGUAGGGUGCAAGCGUUGUCCGGAAUUAUUGGGCGUUAAGAGCUCGUAGGCGGUUCGUCGCGUCGGCUGUGAAAUCCCGAGGCUCAACCUCGGGUCUGCAGUCGAUACGGGCGGACUGGAGUUCGGCAGGGGAGACUGGAAUUCCUGGUGUAGCGGUGAAAUGCGCAGAUAUCAGGAGGAACACCGGUGGCGAAGGCGGGUCUCUGGGCCUAUACUGACGCUGAGGAGCGAAAGCGUGGGGAGCGAACAGG